CCUACGGGUGGCAGCAGUGAGGAAUAUUGGUCAAUGGGCGCGAGCCUGAACCAGCCAAGUCGCGUGAAGGAUGAAUGUCCUACGGGUUGUAAACUUCUUUUAUAAAGGAAUAAAGUGAGGCACGUGUGCCUUGUUGUAUGUACUUUAUGAAAAAGGAUCGGCUAACUCCGUGCCAGCAGCCGCGGUAAUACGGAGGAUCGAGCGUUAUCCGGAUUUAUUGGGUUUAAAGGGGGGGUAGAUGGGUUGUUAAGUCAGUGGGGAAAGUUUGCGGCUCAACCCUAAAAUUGCAAUUGAUACUGGCAGUCUUGAGUACAGUAGAGGUAGGCGGAAUUCGUGGUGUAGCGGUGAAAUGCUUAGAUAUCACGAAGAACUCCGAUUGCGAAGGCAGCUUACUAGCCUCCCACUGACGUUGAUGCUCGAAAGUGUGGGUAUCAAACAGGAUUAGAUACCCUGGUAGUC
rnacentral:rRNA from 1 species